AAUAAACCAAGUAGCAGCGCGGAGUUCAAAGGUUGUUGCGGCACCGACAUGUGGCAGCUGAAGCGGCCUUUAGGAAGACGUGUAUGAGAUGACAGGCGGCUUUGAAACAGACUGGACUCAAUAAACCGAGUAGAAGUGCGGAGUUCAAAGGCUGUCGCGGCACCGACAUGUGGCGGCUGAAGCGGCCUUUAGACAGACGUGUAUGAGAUGAUAGGCGGUUUUGAAGCAGACUGGACUCCAUGUAUGAUGUCACAGUAGCUAAACAUAGACAGUAGUUGAUGAAUGAAGAAUUCAGACAUAUCGUAGUUGAUAUGAUGAAUAAUUUUCCCUCUUUCUCUCCUAUACAAUCUCGAUCUACUUUGUUAUCAUGACACUUUCUCUCCUAAGACGAGAGAUACACUCAUAGAACCACGUACGAACAAAGAUUUAUUUUACGUCUCUAGUACUUACUUAAUUUUGUACGAGAGACUACAAAAGUCAAUUUCAUCAUAGUCAACAUAUGAACAUAUGUGGGGUAAACUUUUUAUCAUACAUAUACGAGGAACGUUUGAUGAUGCAUUUAGAUUUGCAAAAUGUAUUCUGACAGGCAGAUCUAUGUUAUUGAUUAAUCAUAAAAUUAUUGAUCUUAACGUACCGAACUAGCGAGACGAACCCAGAAGAGAAUACAGACUCACGUGGUACACGCCAAAUUUAUUCAGAAGAUUGACAAACCCGAUUAAACCCAAGACAAAACUAAACUCGACUACCCCUACUCUACACUGGGGCGACGACCCGCAGCGUUUACGGUGACGAGGUUACACACGGGGUCGAAGCCACUACAUGCCCGCUCCGUUGUGCUAAACCUCGUCACUGGGAGGAAGGUUCUUUAGUUCAAAAAAGCAAGUCUAAAAUCUCGAGCUCAAAGUCGAAUCAAGUUCCUAUCUUUUCGUAUCAGGAAUACCUAAGUUGUUCCUUCUGGUAAUCGGCGGUGGAAAAGUCUUAACCUACCACACCACGUGGAAGUAGGACGACAGGUUAAGGAAUCGAAUAAACGAAAUUGACAUGAUGUCAAUAUAUCGUCCUAUUCCUAGGUUAGAACACUACGGAGAGGUAAACGUGGUAGCAGUUUUCAACGUGUACUCAACUAAGUCUGAAAGUCUUAAGUAUCUUGUGG
rnacentral:rRNA from 1 species